GCGCCCAUAGCUUAGUUCGCAGAGCGGUGAGACGGUUCCCCACGGUCCCGGGUUCAAGUCCCGGCGGCCGCU